rnacentral:lncRNA from 1 species
CGUCUGCGGUGUUACCCACGACUGCCUGGGACCUGGCCAAGGGCUCCACACACCAAGACCAAGGUGAGGGGAGGUGGUGGGUGGGGACCAGCCCUGCCUCUCUUGGAGACCCCGAGGGUAUGGCGCCAGGCCAGCCUGGAGUCGGGUGUGGGGCGGUUAGUGUGAGCAUUACGUCUUCUUUUCCCUAAAGUGGCUGAAAAUGUCCCCGGGGCCAGUCCCUCAGGGCACCCUGCUGGACUCAAUGCAGCAGAAAGAGUUGGGGUGUUUGGCCGGGUGCGGUGGCUCACGUCUGUCAUCCCAGCACUUUGGGAGGCUGAGGCGGGCGGAUCACCUGAGGUCAGGAGUUGGAGACCAGCCUGGUCAACAUGGCGAAACCCCAUCUCUACUAAAAAUACAAACAUUAGCUGGGUGUGGUGGCAGAUGCCGGUAAUCCCAGCUACUCCGGAGGCUGAAGCAGGAGAAUCACUUGAACCCAGGUGGCGGAGGUUGCAGUGAGCUGAGAUCUCACCAUUGCAUUCCAGCCUGGGUAACAAAGUGCGACUCCGUCUCAAAAAAAAAAAAAAAAAAGAGAAAGGGUUGGAGUGUCCCAUCCUCAGGGCAGGGGUCAGAGCUGCAUCCCUGGGGUGCCCUGAGCUUGGGGGUCAUGAUAACCUUCACCCUGCAUGCAGCCCAGGCCCACACCUAGAAGUCUUGUGGCCUUGAGCACACUGCGUUGCCUCUCUGAGCCUCGGUUUCUCCAUCUAUAAAAUGGAGAGGGUAACAGUGAGAGAUUGCUAUUGGCUGGCUUCGUUCAUUGGGCCCUAAAUCAAACAGUGGCUUAAAUACCAGAGGCUUGCUCAAUGGGUGGUGGGCAGGCAGCCGGGCUGGGGCGGCGCCCCCCCCAUCUCCACGGUGUCCCCACCUCUACAGUGCCUCCCCCUCUCCAUGGUGCCCCCCCACCACGGCCUCCAUCCCUGGGGUCCAGGUUUCAUUUGUUCCUCAGCAAAUGCUACAGAGCUUUUGUAGGCCCACCAGCAGGAGUGGGGUUGCCAGGCAGUGAGCUAGGGGGUGCUGGGAGGGCCCGAGGGGAGGCAGGGCGCAUCCUGCAGGGUGCCUGUGAGGACCUGGGCUGAGGGUGGGUUUGAGCAGAGGCUGACAUGGUCUCACCCUCUGGCUGCUGGGUGGGAACAGACCAUGGGGAGGCCAGGACGGAAGUGAGGAGAACAUGACGAUCCCGGAGAGAGAUAACCCGGAUCGUGGUGGAGACACAGGAAGUGGGGAGAAGUGGUCCAAGCUGUGGAUAUCUGAACAUGGACUCAACAGAAUUUCCCGAUAGAUUGGAUGAGGGGUGUGACUGAAAGGGAGAAGUCAAGGAUGGUUCCAUAGCAACCGCAGGAGCUCCAGCCAUUGCAUCUGCAUUCCAGGCAGCAGGAAGGAGAAAGGAGGGAAGGUAAAAGACUACUGAAAAGCUUUCAGCUGGGGCUGGGCAUGGAGGCUCACACCUGUAAUCCCAACACUUUGGGAAGCCGAGGCUGGUGGAUCACUUGAGCCCAGGAGUCUGAGACCAGCCUGGCCAACAUGGCAAAACCCUGUCGCUACAAAAAAUACAAGAAUUAGCCAUGUGCACCUGUGGUCCCAGGUGCCUCCUCUGCUCCUUUGGGAAAGCCCCACCUGUCUUGAGGUCCCCCACACCUGUGCUUCCCAGCACCUCGGAGACCCCAGAACCACUGAACAAAGAACACUGGGGUCCUGGGCUGCCACAUGGAGGACCCCAGGGUGGCAGGCUCACAACAGCACAGGUGUCCUCCUACAGCUCCCAGGGCCGGGAGCCUGAAACCAAGGUGUCCACAGGGCCCUGCUGCCCCCAGAGGCUCUGGGCAGAGCCCUUCCGCCUUUCCAGCUCCCCCUGGUUCCCGUGCUCCUCGGCCUGUGGCCCCAUCACUCUGGCCUCUGCCUUCAUCUCAUGCCGAGAUCCCUGAAGCGGGCCCAGCUCCGUUCACUG